rnacentral:rRNA from 1 species
UUGAUCCUGGCUCAGGACGAACGCGGCGGCGUGCCUAAUACAUGCAAGUCGAACGCUUUUUCUUUCACCGGAGCUUGCUCCCCCCGAAAGAAAAAAGAGUGGCGAACGGGUGAGUAACACGUGGGUAACCUGCCCAUCAGAAGGGGAUAACACUUGGAAACAGGUGCUAAUACCGUAUAACACUAUUUUCCGCAUGGAAGAAAGUUGAAAGGCGCUUUUGCGUCACUGAUGGAUGGACCCGCGGUGCAUUAGCUAGUUGGUGAGGUAACGGCUCACCAAGGCAACGAUGCAUAGCCGACCUGAGAGGGUGAUCGGCCACACUGGGACUGAGACACGGCCCAGACUCCUACGGGAGGCAGCAGUAGGGAAUCUUCGGCAAUGGACGAAAGUCUGACCGAGCAACGCCGCGUGAGUGAAGAAGGUUUUCGGAUCGUAAAACUCUGUUGUUAGAGAAGAACAAGGAUGAGAGUAAAAUGUUCAUCCCUUGACGGUAUCUAACCAGAAAGCCACGGCUAACUACGUGCCAGCAGCCGCGGUAAUACGUAGGUGGCAAGCGUUGUCCGGAUUUAUUGGGCGUAAAGCGAGCGCAGGCGGUUUCUUAAGUCUGAUGUGAAAGCCCCCGGCUCAACCGGGGAGGGUCAUUGGAAACUGGGAGACUUGAGUGCAGAAGAGGAGAGUGGAAUUCCAUGUGUAGCGGUGAAAUGCGUAGAUAUAUGGAGGAACACCAGUGGCGAAGCGGCUCUCUGGUCUGUAACUGACGCUAAGCUCGAAGCGUGGGGACGAACAGGAUUAGAUACCCUGGUNGUCA